rnacentral:rRNA from 1 species
CCUACGGGAGGCAGCAGUAGGGAAUAUUGCACAAUGGGGGAAACCCUGAUGCAGCAACGCCGCGUGGGGGAAGAAGUUUUUAGGAAUGUAAACCCCUUUUCCCAGGGAACAUAAUGACGGUAACUCACGAAUAAGCACCGGCUAACCACGUGCCAGCAGCCGCGGUAAUACGGUGGGUGCAAGCGUUUCUCGGAAUUACUGGGGGUAAAGGGUGCGUAGGCGGGAUCGUAAGUCUGAGGUGAAAUCCUAUCGCUUAAACACGGAACUGCAUUUGAAACUGUGAAUCUGGAGUGCAGGAGAGGUAGGUGGAAUUCCUAGUGUAGCGGUGAAAUGCGUAGAUAUUAGGAGGAACACCAGUGGCGAAGGCGGCCUACUGGACUAUUACUGACGCUGAGGCUCGAAAGCGUGGGGAGCAAACAGGAUUAGAUACCCGGGUAGUC